rnacentral:lncRNA from 1 species
GCUUGGGUACGGUGGGAUAAACAAAACAAAAAUGGAUAACAAAGGGUUUUGGACUCGGCAGUCAUGUUGUGUGAUUUUUCUUUCUCUUUUUCUCGUGCAUCACGUAUACUCUGGGGUUAAUUUCACUCUUUUGACUCUUUUUCUACUCAAAUUUUUCGAGCAUUUUAUAUGUGUUAGAGUCUUAAGUCUCGUCAAGUGCAUUUUUUCUCUUUUGUUUUUCUUUUUUUUCUUUUUUUUCUUUUUUUUCUUUUUGGACAUACACAAUUCUUUUCUUUUUGUAUGAUCUCUUAUUAUGCACUUGCCCUAUCUUUCUAGAUUACUACCCCAAACUUAGUAUUAUGCACAUCUUGCAACUCACAACAAUCAUGCCGAGUGAUGGAAGGAAUGAAUGAUUAGUGGUUAACAUGGGUUUAUG